rnacentral:rRNA from 1 species
AACGAACGCUGGCGGCAGGCCUAACACAUGCAAGUCGAGCGCCCAGCAAUGGGAGCGGCGGACGGGUGAGUAACGCGUGGGAAUUUUUCCUGGAGUACGGAACAACCGAGGGAAACUUCGGCUAAUACCGUAUGAUGCCGAGAGGCCAAAGAUUUAUCGCUCUGGGGUGAGCCCGCGUCAGAUUAGGUAGUUGGUGGGGUAAAGGCCUACCAAGCCUGCGAUCUGUAGCUGGUCNGAGAGGACGAUCAGCCACACUGGGACUGAGACACGGCCCAGACUCCUACGGGAGGCAGCAGUGGGGAAUCUUGCGCAAUGGGCGAAAGCCUGACGCAGCCAUGCCGCGUGAGUGAAGAAGGUCUUAGGAUUGUAAAGCUCUUUCGCUCGUGACGAUGAUGACGGUAACGAGAGAAGAAG